UACGUAGGGUGCAAGCGUUGUCCGGAAUUAUUGGGCGUAAAGAGCUCGUAGGCGGUUUGUCGCGUCUGCUGUGAAAACUCGGGGCUUAACUCCGGGCCUGCAGUGGGUACGGGCAGACUAGAGUGCGGUAGGGGAGACUGGAAUUCCUGGUGUAGCGGUGAAAUGCGCAGAUAUCAGGAGGAACACCGGUGGCGAAGGCGGGUCUCUGGGCCGAUACUGACGCUGAGGAGCGAAAGCUAGGGGAGCAAACGGG
rnacentral:rRNA from 1 species